GACGAACGCUGGCGGCGUGCUUAACACAUGCAAGUCGAACGAAGUGGCGAACGGGUGAGUAACGCGUAAUCAACCUGCCCUUCAGAGGGGGACAACAGUUGGAAACGACUGCUAAUACCGCAUACUGAAGGAGGGGAGUUAGUCUGAUUAGCUAGUUGGAGGGGGAACGGCCCACCAAGGCGAUGAUUAGGAGCCGGUCUGGGAGGCUGAACGGCCACAUUUGGACUGGGACACGGGCCAGACUCCUACGGGAGGCAGCAGUUGGGAAUCUUCCGCAAUGGACGAAAGUCUGACGGCGCAACGCCGCGGGAGUGAUGACGGCCUUCGGGUUGUAAAGCUCUUUUAAUCGGGACGCGGUACCGGAAUAGUAAGCCCCGGCUAACUACGUGCCAGCAGCCGCGGUAAUAC
rnacentral:rRNA from 1 species